UACGUAGGGUGCGAGCGUUAAUCGGAAUUACUGGGCGUAAAGCGUGCGCAGGCGGUUUUGUAAGCCAGAUGUGAAAUCCCCGGGCUUAACCUGGGAAUGGCAUUUGGGACUGCAAGGCUCGAGUGCGGCAGAGGAGACUGGAAUUCCUGGUGUAGCAGUGAAAUGCGUAGAUAUCUGGAGGAACACCGGUGGCGAAGGCGGCAUUCUGGACUGCAACUGACACUGAAAGACGAAAGCCAGGGGAGCAAACGGG
rnacentral:rRNA from 1 species